rnacentral:rRNA from 1 species
UACGGAGGAUGCAAGCGUUAUCCGGAAUGAUUGGGCGUAAAGCGUCCGCAGGUGGCUGUGUAAGUCUGCUGUUAAAGAGUGAGGCUCAACCUCAUAAAGGCAGUGGAAACUACAUGGCUAGAGUGCGUUUGGGGCAGAGGGAAUUCCUGGUGUAGCGGUGAAAUGCGUAGAGAUCAGGAAGAACACCGGUGGCGAAAGCGCUCUGCUAGGCCGCAACUGACACUGAGGGACGAAAGCUAGGGGAGCGAAUGGG